AAAACAUGUGGUGUCUAAAGAGCGAAGAGUUUUAAGUUCUACUCGUAUAUACAUAUAUAAUUGAGCUGUGAAAUUGCACUUAUUUAUUGCCUAUGAAGUAUUCUUAUGGAAGGCAUACACGCACCAAUUUUUGUACCAAUUUCAUCAAAUUGUACAACUAAUUGUUACGUAUGUAUGUAUAUGGGGCAGUUGUAUGAGUUGUACCAACUGAUUGAAUGAAAAUCAAAAUGUUUUCAUAUUUUGCAAGUUGGCUGUGUUAGUUGGAUCGUGUUUGGGUUGGUCGUGCGAUUUCAAACGAUUUCGCCAUUUUAUUUCGGCUGUCGAAGAGAGCGCGUCAUAUGUAAAAAUUACCGUUCCUCUGUGUUCGCUUACAAGAUACAUAAAUGGACUUCGAGAAAAUAGUUUUGAAGAAAGUGAUGAAAAAUGGACAAAAGAAAUUAGUUCUGAUAUGAGUAAUUUAGGUUCCGAGGAUUCUUAUUUUCAAUCCGAUCAUGCUACCAAAUCAGAAAUUGAUGCAGAAGAUGAAGAAAUUGAAAAUCCGCACUGUUGAUAUUCAAGGUACUAUUUGUAUGAUAAAAUUGUAAAAAUAAGGCGGAGAUAUGAAAAUGCAGCCAAUCCCUCCGAUCUCAGAGACUGAAUCUUGAAGAAUUAAUUGGAAUUAUUAAUAUUAAUAUCAAUUUUCGAAUCAACUAUCGUAAUUCUAUUCCUUUCGCUACGAAUAGAAUUAGACGAUAUAUUUUUAGAUGUGUAAUGGUAAUCGAUUUCAAAUAGUUCUUUGUUGUCUAAGGCAUGUGGUCCUGUAUAUGUACGUACAGUCGUUGAAAAUGUUUGCAUAGAAGAGAUGGGCACAAUUCCGAUUUCUUUGGCGCCGAUUUUUUUGAAGGUACCGUUGGAAAGAGAAAGUACUCCUGAUUAAAAAAUAUAUAGGGUACCGCAAACGCUUAGUUUACGAGAUAUUCGACCUUAAAGUUCAAAAAUUCGCAAAAUUCGAACAUUUCAAGAAGCUAUUUUACCACGUUAAACCCACUUUAUUUACAUUUUUCUCUUCAAAUUAAUUAAAUUACACUAUAAUCUUUUAAAUAAAUUCACAUUUUACACUUUUAGCAGGUUUUUUAUUUAAAACAUCUUUAUUUUAAAAAUUACAUUUUACACUCGUUUGAACCUCAUUUGUUUACCAAAAAUUACGAAGAAAUGUAGCGCUGCCAUGUGAUGACAAGGCAAUUCGCUGAAAUGCCUCUUUUUCGCAAAAACUCCUCUAUUCAUGCAUAUGAAUAUUUUCUUUUUUAAAUUUA